GACGAACGCUGGCGGCGCGCUUAACACAUGCAAGUCGAGCGAAGCGGCGGACGGGUGAGUAACACGUGAGUAACCUGCCUUAGACAUUGGGCUAGCCUCGGGAAACCGGGAUUAAUACCAAAUGGUCUAAGAUGGACUCGCGGCCCAUUAGUUAGUUGGUGAGGUAACGGCCCACCAAGGCGACGAUGGGUGGCCGGCCUGAGGGGGUGAACGGCCACAUUUGAACUGAGAAACGGUCCAAACUCUACGGGAGGCAGCAGUGGGGAAUAUUGCACAAUGGAGUGAACUCUGAUGCAGCGACGCCGCGUGAACUAAGAAGGCUUUCGAGUCGUAAAGUUCUUUUAUAUGGGAAGCGGUACCAUAAGAAAAAGCCCCGGCUAACUACGUGCCAGCAGCCGCGGUAAUUC
rnacentral:rRNA from 1 species